rnacentral:rRNA from 1 species
CGGGGUGAGUAAUGUCUGGGAAACUGCCCGAUGGAGGGGGAUAACUACUGGAAACGGUAGCUAAUACCGCAUAGCGUCGCAAGACCAAAGAGGGGGACCUUAGGGCCUCUUGCCAUCGGAUGUGCCCAGAUGGGAUUAGCUAGUAGGUGGGGUAAUGGCUCACCUAGGCGACGAUCCCUAGCUGGUCUGAGAGGAUGACCAGCCACACUGGAACUGAGACACGGUCCAG